UACGGGGGGGGCAAGCGUUGUUCGGAAUUACUGGGCGUAAAGGGCUCGUAGGCGGCCAACUAAGUCGGAUGUGAAAUCCCCAGGCUCAACUUGGGAACUGCAUCCGAUACUGGAUGGCUUGAAUUCGGGAGAGGGAUGCAGAAUUCCAGGUGUAGCGGUGAAAUGCGUAGAGAUCGGGAGGAACACCUGUGGCGAAGGCGGCCCCCUGGGCCGGCCCUGACGCUCAUGCACGAAAGCGUGGGGAGCAAACAGG
rnacentral:rRNA from 1 species